rnacentral:tRNA from 2 species
GCCAGCUUAGCUUAGUUGGUAGAGCAAUGCACUCGUAACGCAUAGGUCGAUGGUUCAAGUCCGUCAGCUGGCACCA